AGUGAACGCUGGCGGUAGGCCUAACACAUGCAAGUCGAACGGCAGCACAGUAAGAGCUUGCUCUUACGGGUGGCGAGUGGCGGACGGGUGAGGAAUACAUCGGAAUCUACUUUUUCGUGGGGGAUAACGUAGGGAAACUUACGCUAAUACCGCAUACGACCUACGGGUGAAAGCAGGGGAUCUUCGGACCUUGCGCGAUUGAAUGAGCCGAUGUCGGAUUAGCUAGUUGGCGGGGUAAAGGCCCACCAAGGCGACGAUCCGUAGCUGGUCUGAGAGGAUGAUAAGCCACACUGGAACUGAGACACGGUCAAGACUCCUACGGGAGGCAGCAGUGGGGAAUAGUGGACAACGGGCGCAAGCAUGAUCCAGCCAUACCGCGUGGGUGAAGUAGGCCUUCGGGUUGUAAAGCCCUUUUGUUGGGAAAGAACAGCAGCAGGUUAAUACCCAGCUGUUCUGACGGUACCCAAAGAAUAAGCACCGGCUAACUUCGUG
rnacentral:rRNA from 1 species